rnacentral:rRNA from 1 species
AACGAACGCUGGCGGCAGGCCUAACACAUGCAAGUCGAGCGCCCCGCAAGGGGAGCGGCGGACGGGUGAGUACCGCGUGGGAAUAUGCCCUUUGCUACGGAAUAGUCUCGGGAAACUGGGGGUAAUACCGUAUACGCCCUUUGGGGGAAAGAUUUAUCGGCGAAGGAUUAGCCCGCGUUGGAUUAGGUAGUUGGUGGGGUAAUGGCCUACCAAGCCGACGAUCCAUAGCUGGUUUGAGAGGAUGAUCAGCCACACUGGGACUGAGACACGGCCCAGACUCCUACGGGAGGCAGCAGUGGGGAAUCUUAGACAAUGGGGGCAACCCUGAUCUAGCCAUGCCGCGUGAGCGAUGAAGGCCUUAGGGUUGUAAAGCUCUUUCAGCUGGGAAGAUAAUGACGGUACCAGCAGAAGAAGCCCCGGCUAACUCCGUG